CCUACGGGUGGCAGCAGUGGGGAAUAUUGGACAAUGGGGGCAACCCUGAUCCAGCGACGCCGCGUGGGUGAAGAAGGCCUGCGGGUUGUAAAGCCCUUUCGGUGGGGAUAUCUAACCCAAGAAAGAAGCACCGGCUAACUCUGUGCCAGCAGCCGCGGUAAUACAGAGGGUGCGAGCGUUAAUCGGAAUUACUGGGCGUAAAGCGCACGUAGGUGGCUUUGCAAGUCGAUUGUGAAAUCCCCGGGCUUAACCUGGGAACUGCAGUCGAGACUGCUUUGCUUGAGUAUGGGAGAGGGAGGUGGAAUUCCGGUGUAGCGGUGAAAUGCGUAGAUAUCGGAAGGAACAUCAGUGGCGAAGGCGACCUCCUGGACCAAACUGACACUCAAGUGCGAAAGCGUGGGGAGCAAACAGGAUUAGAUACCCUUGUAGUC
rnacentral:rRNA from 1 species